rnacentral:lncRNA from 1 species
AUGGACGCAAAUACCACGCAGCGGAGAGAGGAAGAGAACGAGCGGGGCCGGGCCGAGCGCGCGCGCUGCGCAGAGCUGCGCAACCACAGGCGCAGGAGGGCUGGAAGCCGAACGUGGAUGAUGCGAGGGGUCAAGGGUGGACGUGCUCCACCGAGGAAAGGAAAAAAAACGGCAUUUGCGGAGCGGCGUACGGUACGGCGAGACCGCAGCACCACGGCCACGAACGUGGAGGAUCCCUCCGCGCCGGCGGCCCUCUGGGAAAACCGCCAGGAAGAGGCGCACGGGACGAUAGGCAUCGGCCCAGCGGGAGGAAGCCGCUCCGUUUACAGUGGAGCGCUCAGCAUCGUUAUGAGGGGAGGAUCAGUCCCACGCGCUUAUCUGCGGACCCAAACAUCGCGAGACCCAGACCCUCGACUGGGCUCGACUCCCGGCGGGCCUCGUGCAGUCAGAGUGGAGCGUACGGUGGAACCGGCCGGGACCGGACCCGGCCUGGACCGGACCCGAGCACCGCUGGAGGUGAUGCCUCCGCACCUUCACUCUGGACCUCCGCCGUGCGCCCCCAGCUCCUCAGGUUCCCCCAGAGACAGAGCGUUUUGGCAUCUUCCACCUCAUUGUUUCCUUUUUAUGACUUGCAGCUUUACUGAACUAACUUAUUCCCACUGCUCCCGACAAACUCGCUUCCAGCUGCAGCAGGAAGCUGUUUGCACAGAAGAAGAAGCAGCAAAGCGCCUGGGUCGGGGCCCUCGGAUGGUACCUGUCUAA